CUGUAGGAGAACCGCAUUUCUCUUGUUCACGCCUGCACGUUACAUGGGGCAUCAUGCUACUGUUUGCUCCUGUGCUCAGGACAACUGUGGCUUCCAGGAGGGAGUGGAAUGAAGACUCCCAAGGUCAGACGUGUAGAUUUUUUUUCCCACUUCGAUACAAUGUGACCUCAAAAGGAAAAAAAAAUAAAAGAAAAAAAGAAAAAGAGCCUGGAUCUUGGAGUACUAAUUAGCACAAUAUGCAAAUUCACACACUGCGGACUGGUUGAGAAGCUGCUGAUUACUUCCAAAGCAAUAAGGAUCACCCUGAAUUAUGACGAAGCCUCAGACCUACUGUACAACGCUGGAAGGACACGGCAUGCCACUGUGCCUUGUUCUUCUUUGGGGUUGCCACUGUUUGAUGACAGGGUGUGAGGCACAUCCACAGAACUUCCUUUGGACCUUAUGAGUUUUGUUGUUGUUUUAACACAGUGGGAAGAAGGAGGAAGGCCACCCCCUGGCCACACCUACAGUGAAACUGCCUUUGUCUGACCAGAGCUGUCCCUCUCCCUUCUUUUUCAAACCACAGCCACCACCCUGCAAAGAACAUGUCUGUUCUUGCCACCCGCCACCUUUGCCACCCGCCACGCCCCCUCCGGGUGUUGCCUCCUGCCAAGGAACUCAUCUGGCUUCUGAGCUCCAUCUAACAUCAACUUGUGUGGUGUUUCGCCUCCUGGCCCAGGGAGCUUGGCACUUGUGGUUCCCACUCUGUCUUUGUGAAGACUUAAGGCUGCUGCAGGCUGCCCAAGGCAGCACAAAAGAACUCCCCGUCGCCCAGCAGUGCUGGCCUCCACCCGGGACAGCCACCUCCAGCACAGGUCACUCCUGGGCCUCCAGGCUCACCUAUCUCCUCACAAACUCUUCAGUCAGAAAUCAGAGUCCUAAUGUAAAGCCCAGCCAGGGACGUCUUCCUCCAGGAAUCACUCUCUCUCCACUCCACAACCUGGUCAUGAGGGGGAGAAGAUCUUUCCAAAGUAUCCCACCUGAAUUCUCAAUGACAGGCCCCAUACAAAGCAUCAGGUGGCGUCUCUGAUAACAGGGAUCUGUCGGUGACAUUGGGUACACACCAGGCUUUGUAAGUGACAGUGGUGACUUUCCUGUGUUCUCUUCUGGUGGGGAACUGCAGGGUGUUUCUUCUUGACCCCUUGCCUCAUCGACACACAUUCACCCCCAUUUUCUUUUUAAUCUGUUACAAAAGAACAGAAACAAGACCAAGAAGACAUUAAAACUCUAAAGUUAAAUUAAUAGAGAAGAUUCUCCGAGAUGCUAAACCACGUGGACCUGGAAAGUCUUCCCUCCUUGUUGGCAACCGGGUGCUUGCCUCCUGCCGUCCUGGCUGAGGACCGUGCCUUAGCUCCUGCUCUACAAAAUACAAUGUUGCCAUGACAUAACGCUGGUCUCCAGGGAGCCUCUCAGCCUCGGUGGGAUCUUAUGAAUUUGGAUAUUCAAGAGAGCAGCUUGGACCCACUGUGGCUGGGAGAAUAAACUGCCCACUAAGAUCUGUGGGAGAGUGAAUUAUCCACUAAGGGCUGAGUGGGCUGUGCUUCGCCAACUUUGUUUUCUGUUUAUUUGGAACCGUUACACCGCAGCAGGGGCCUCUCUGGAGUGACCUUUUCAUGAUGCAAAAAUUAGUUUGGGGAAGUUCAAAUUCCCCAAAUGGAACAAUAAUCAGAUGAAAUGACCACAAAGGAAUAAAUUUGCUUCCGAAAUAAAAAGGUACUUAACAAAUGAUUCAUCAUUCCACGCUCUGACCUUAAAUAGAUCUCUCUUUGGCUUCACUGACUAGAAGUCAGUUCUUUUGCUGCCUUUGUUUUUUGUAUAUAACAAGGUUUGUGUGUUUCAUGA